rnacentral:rRNA from 1 species
AUACGGAGGAUCCGAGCGUUAUCCGGAUUUAUUGGGUUUAAAGGGAGCGUAGGCGGAUGUGUAAGUCAGUUGUGAAAGUUUAAAGCUUAACCUUGAAAUCGCCGUUGAUACUGGAAGUCUAGAGUUUAGUUACUGUGGGCGGAAUUUGUGGUGUAGCGGUGAAAUGCAUAGAUAUCACGAAGAACUUCAAUUGCGAAGGCAGCUCACAGGGCUGUUAUUGACGCUGAUGCUCGAAAGUGUGGGUAUCAAACAGGAUUAGAUACCCUGGUAGUCCACACAGUAAACGAUGAUUACUCGCUGUUGGCGAUAGACAGUAGGCGGCCAAGCGAAAGCGUUAAGUAAUCCACCUGGGGAGUACGACGGCAAGGGUGA